rnacentral:pre_miRNA from 1 species
CUUGUACUCCCUCCAUCCGAAAAUACUUGUCAUUCAAAUGGAUGUAUCUAGAUGUAUUUUAGUUCUAGACACAUCCAUUUUGAUGACAAGUAAUUCCGGACAGAGGGAGUACUUG